rnacentral:lncRNA from 1 species
AUGUGCAGCUUGCUCCUCCCUUCCGCCGCGCGGAGGAUGGCCAUGUUGGCGAACGUGAACGCCACCCACUUGAAGCAGCACGCCGCCAUGAACACCUGGUACGCUUCCAGCAACUCCAUGGCCGACGCGCGCUCCGCGGACGCCAGCAGCCGGCGCUCCAGGCUCGCCGCGCCGGUCAGCCGCGCCUCCAGGCCGUCGGCGAACCGCUCGGUGGCGUCCCCUGCCGGCGACGAGUGCCGCUUGAUCUGCUCCAGGAGUUCGCCGGCGCUCCGGCGGUUGCCCGAUGCCACCGCCUGCGCGCACGACAUGAGCAGCUCGCGCAGGUCCACCACCUCCCCCUUGCCCUGCCUCCUCCUCCGCGGCGCCGGCUUCCCGCCCUUCUUCUCCGCCGGGACGCGCGGCGCGUUCGUCUCCCCGUGGAAUGCCUCGUCCUCGUCCCCGUUGAGCAUCAUCUUCUCCAACAUCUCGCCGAUGCCAUCGUCGUCGUCGUCCUCCUCCUCCAGCGUGGCCAUCAGUUUGCUCGCCCUGCCCACCUCGGCCUCCAGCUCGUCCCCGCCAUGCUUACUACCCUUCCGCCCCCUACCAUUGCCGCUCCCCUGCAUCAUCAAGGCAGCAGAAUCCUCCAUGGCUGCACUGUUCAGCUCACCGGCGAUGCCAGAGGAGGAGGAGAGGAUCUGGGCGAACGGCUGUUGCGCCUCGAGGAGGGCGGGGUGGUCGGGGUACAGGCAGAAGAACACGUCGUCGUCCAUGUCCUCCUCCAUGAGAAUUCGCGAGAUGUACGGGAGCACCACAUCGUCGGCCGCCGCGGCUGCUUCGGAUGGCGGCGCGGCUGGCCCCAUGACCUCCAGCAACGCAGCGCCGCAAGAAGACACGACACGAACUCCUCUCACCACCGGAGUGGCAUAUGAUGUACUCGUAAGUGUUUUCCAUGCUUACAUUGGAGACAUCGAUUAGCUCCGCGUAU